AGCUAUUGGGAAGGCAUUGCCUGCCCAGUGACAACUGUUUAACGGCCGCGGUAUCCUGACCGUGCAAAGGUAGCAUAAUCAUUUGUUCUCUAAAUAAGGACUUGUAUGAAUGGCCGCACGAGGGUUUUACUGUCUCUUACUUCCAAUCAGUGAAAUUGACCUUCCCGUGAAGAGGCGGGAAUGCACAAAUAAGACGAGAAGACCCUAUGGAGCUUUAACUAACCAACCCAAAGAGAAUAGAUUUAACCAUUAAGGAAUAACAACAAUCUCCAUGAGUUGGUAGUUUCGGUUGGGGUGACCUCGGAGAAUAAAAAAUCCUCCGAGCGAUUUUAAAGACUAGACCCACAAGUCAAAUCACUCUAUCGCUCAUUGAUCCAAAAACUUGAUCAACGGAACAAGUUACCCUAGGGAUAACAGCGCAAUCCUAUUCAAGAGUCCAUAUCGACAAUAGGGUUUACGACCUCGAUGUUGGAUCAGGACAUCCUGAUGGUGCAACCGCUAUCAAAGGUUCGUUUGUUCAACGAUUAAAGUCCUACGUGAUCUGAGUUCAGACCGGA
rnacentral:rRNA from 1 species